rnacentral:rRNA from 1 species
ACUACGGGCGGCAGCAGUGAGGAAUAUUGGUCAAUGGGCGCGAGCCUGAACCAGCCAAGUAGCGUGAAGGAUGACUGCCCUACGGGUUGUAAACUUCUUUUAUAAAGGAAUAAAGUGAGGCACGUGUGCCUUAUUGUAUGUACUUUAUGAAUAAGGAUCGGCUAACUCCGUGCCAGCAGCCGCGGUAAUACGGAGGAUCCGAGCGUUAUCCGGAUUUAUUGGGUUUAAAGGGAGCGUAGAGGGGUUGUUAAGUUAGUUGUGAAAGUUUGCGGCUCAACCGUAGCAUUGCAGUUGAUACUGGAAGUCGUGAGUACAGUUGAGGUAGGCGGAAUUCGUGGUGUAGCGGUGAAAUGCUUAGAUAUCACGAAGAACUCCGAUUGCGAAGGCAGCUUACUAAACUGCCACUGACAUUGAUGCUCGAAAGUGUGGGUAUCAAACAGGAUUAGAUACCCGGGUAGUC